GAAUAUGCACCUGCUUCUCAGAUUGGCAAGCCAACAAUUUACUGUGAAGAAUCAGUUGUUUUGAAUGGCUAAUUGGUUACAGGUGCAAUGAAUUAACCAUCUGCCUUAGAGACUGACUCAACUAAGGGAAGGAAAAUCCUCUUCUCUCAUUUUGGGAGUACAUCAGUAAGAUGUGAUUCUAACUCAAAAUGUGUGCAUCCUAUGUGGAGUGAGCUAAUGUGAGACAUAACAUUUCUGAACGGCCAACAACACAACAACCAAGGAUGGUCACAAUCUUUUGACUCCAAGAAGACAAAAUGAAGCUCUUGCUGACUAGAAAAUGACCAUGUGUACUCCUCAACUGUGUGGGAAAUUACUAUUAGGUAACAUGGUCUUACUGUACCUCUUUGCUUUCAGGAAACUGAAGCAUAGAGAAAUCAUGUGGCUUAUCUAAAGGUAACCAGUUGUUAACAAAAUCAGA